CUCACUCUUCUAACCCUCACCAGUUUAGAUCCACUGGAAAGGCCACCGGAGCAGGCUCGGUGGGUCCUGCAGACCUGCAGCGCAGAUAGGAUAAUCGACGGGCAUGGUGGCACACACUUUUGGUCCCAGCACUCUGGAGGCUGAAGCUGAGGAUCUAUGAAUGCUCAUAUUCAUAAGGCAGAGAUGAGCCCCAACUCAAGACGCCGUACAGAAGUUGCAGUGGUUAAAGUUGAAAUCGGAACUGUGUAAAGUGCAAAGAGUGAGCGUCAGUGGAGUGAGUGCCCAGGCACAGAUUGGUCCUCUCUACUGCACACACUCCCACAAGGCUUCGGGACCAUAGCACACAGUGGAAGAGCGGAGGGAAAGAUUGUAAGCCAGAUGUCGAGAAAAACUGGAGUGACAUCGUCUUCCGGAUAUGGAAUAUGGUAGAAUCACAGUGCUCACGAGCUCACAGUGCCCCGUAAUUGCCUUCACAAGACCUGUACAAGACCCAGCCUGCCAAUAAUUCCUGCAUGGAAUUUAAGGCAUUCAUGAGCCCCCGCCCCUAACUGAGGAGCUGUGGACAGUUACUAGCUUAUGAGAGAAGUGGGGGUGGGGGGAGAGUUUUCUUUAAGGGUGUGGUUUCCCAGUUGUUUGACCAUGCUCCAGUGGAUAGCCCCACACCCAGAAGUAUGUGGGCAGCACAAAUUGGACCCCAUGGAUUAUUUAAAACCCACAGAAGACAGGAAGUAUAUGGGUUAACCUGAGAGGGGUAGGGAGAAGAGUGGAGAGUGGAUAUGACCAAAAUAUUCUGUAUAAAACUGUCAAGGAAUUAAUUAUAUAUCUAUAUCCCUGUAUAAAGGAAUCUUUAUCUAUAUCCAUGUCCAUAUCUAUAUAAAGGAAUAGUCCAGGUGGAGGAGGUGGCUCCUUGCUUAAGCUUGCACUGCAGUUGCCCCAGGCAGUUCACAAUUGCCUGUGACUUCAGCUACAGAGGAUUUGACAUCCUCUUCUGCUCUCUCUGUGGGCAUUUACAUGCAUGUACACACACAGAGACACACAUGUAUGCAUUCAUUUUUUUAAAAAUCUUUAAAAGGAAUAAUCUGAAUUAUAAGCCUUGAGAAGGUAAGGGCCACCAUGUUCACUUAAUCCCAGAUAUAUCAAUAACAUGAUCAAUUAAAAGUUGUUUAACAGACGAGUAUCAAAAUGUGAUGUCAGGGAAUGUAUGUGUGUAUGUGUGUGUGUACGUAACCAGAGUACAUUAUGUACAUAUAUGAAAUUGUCUGAGCAGGAAGUUAGUUAAUAGAUUAUAUAAAACUGGGACUUCAUUGAUGAGAAACAAGAAAGAAAUACUUGAAGAAUAUUUUGUAAUGGAAAAAUUGUAAGCAUAACCAAGUGCAAUGAACUUGCUUCAAAGUCACACCUUUCUGAUAAUUGUUAUUGCACAGCUAAUCUGUGUCACCUCCUCCUUACCUGCCCCACCCCCAGGACUCUGAAGUAGUCAUUACAUCUGUAAAUAUUUCCACAAGUAUCUCCAAUAUGAAAUUCUAUGGGUCCACAAGAUGGCUCGGCAGGUAGCAGGGCUUGCAGUCAAGCCUGAUGACCUGAGUUCGAUCCUCAGGAUCCACCUUAGAACUCUACUAGAACUUUUUAUAACAUAUUUAUACGGGGACCCAGAGAGAGCUCACACAUUGUGAUUCCUCAAGACACAGGUCACCCUCUCAUUACCUUUAAACUUGCUUGAUUUUUCUUUCCUAAGAAACCGUCUGGAUUUUCCUGAUACUACCCCACAGUGUGUAUUGAGCAAGCUUUUCUGUUGUGCAUGUCCAAUAAACGAGUAGUUUUGUCUUUGGUC
rnacentral:lncRNA from 1 species